CAACAUUUUUUAAUCAAAUAAAAUUUAGAAAAUUUUUUUAACAAAAAUGAU
rnacentral:tRNA from 1 species